rnacentral:rRNA from 1 species
UACAGAGGGUGCAAGCGUUAAUCGGAAUUACUGGGCGUAAAGCGUGCGUAGACGGUUAUGUAAGUCGGGUGUGAAAGCCCCGGGCUCAACCUGGGAAUGCCAUUCGAGACUGCAUAGCUAGGGUGCGGAAGAGGGAAGCGGAAGUUUCCGGUGUAGCGGUGAAAUGCGUAGAUAUCGGAAGGAACACCAGUGGCGAAAGCGG